UAUAUAUGCAAGUCGAGCGGACUUGUUAGAAGCUUGCUUCUAACAAGUUAGCGGCGGACGGGUGAGUAACACGUGGGUAACCUGCCUGUAAGAUGGGGAUAACUCCGGGAAACCGGAGCUAAUACCGAAUAACACUUUCGCUCGCAUGAGCGGAUGUUAAAAGACGGUUUCGGCUGUCACUUACAGAUGGACCCGCGGCGCAUUAGCUAGUUGGUGAGGUAACGGCUCACCAAGGCGACGAUGCGUAGCCGACCUGAGAGGGUGAUCGGCCACACUGGGACUGAGACACGGCCCAGACUCCUACGGGAGGCAGCAGUAGGGAAUCUUCCGCAAUGGACGAAAGUCUGACGGAGCAACGCCGCGUGAGUGAUGAAGGUUUUCGGAUCGUAAAACUCUGUUGUUAGGGAAGAACAAGUAUGAGAGUAACUGCUCGUACCCUUGACGGUACCUAACCAGAAAGCCACGGCUAAACUACGUGCCAGCAGCCGCGGUAAUACGUAGGUGGCAAGCGUUGUCCGGAAUUAUUGGGCGUAAAGCGCGCGCAGGCGGUUCCUUAAGUCUGAUGUGAAAGCCCACGGCUCAACCGUGGAGGGUCAUUGGAAACUGGGGAACUUGAGUGCAGAAGAGGAAAGCGGAAUUCCACGUGUAGCGGUGAAAUGCGUAGAGAUGUGGAGGAACACCAGUGGCGAAGGCGGCUUUCUGGUCUGUAACUGACGCUGAGGCGCGAAAGCGUGGGGAGCAAACAGGAUUAG
rnacentral:rRNA from 2 species